rnacentral:rRNA from 1 species
AAGGCUUCAGUACGACCCAGUCAGAACUAUAAGUCUCAAAGCCCCGACGAGUAGGGUGGCGUGCCGGUGCGCGUUGAAGGCCAAGACGUGAGUCAGGCUGGAGCCGCCGGUAGUGCAGAUCUUGGUGGUAGUAGCAAGUACUCUGGUGAACCAACCUGGAGCUGUGAGGUCUGGAUCAGGGUUCCAUGUCAACAGUGAUUGAACAUGGGUGAGUCGAUCCUAAGCCAACUGUGAAAGCAGUGACAUCCCGACAACGGGGGCAUUACGUGCGCCGCACUCACACCACCGUAAUACACCAAAGCUCACGAGUAUAUAUAUAUAAAUGUGUAUAUAUAUAUAUAUCUCUCUCUCUCUCUCUCUCUGGUACGCAAAAAUGCGCGCACACACGCUGAUCAUUACAAAAAAAAAGUAGAUGUGAGUGUGUGCGCGCGCUUCUCUGGUUGCGCUCAUUGGCGUUGAGGAUCUGUGGAUAAAGAAAAAAAAAGAGAGAGUGAGUGGGUGGGUGAGAUUGCUUUCGCAUGGUUCCUCUGCGUCUGGUUCUAUGUCUGGCGAAAGGGAAUGGGGACUUUGUUCCUUGACCGGUCCCGGCACCCUCGAUUGGCUCUGCCAAUUAAUGGUCCAUGCAAAUGGAACCAGGCCACAGCCGCCGGCAGUCGCCCGAGGAAGAGUUUUCUUUUCUGCUUAACGCACGAGGUCAUCCCUGGAAACAGUUCGGCUGGCGAAAGGGUGCCCCGUUGCGGCAGAGCGCCACGACUGUCGUGCGCGUCUCGGUGUUCCUGCCGGUCCGUGAAGACGUGGUCGAGGGGAUUGCUCUUGUAUCAACGAAACGCCCGACAAGUUCGGGACGGACCGUACCCUAUAUCCGCAUCUGGUCUCCAAGGUUCGUAGCCUCUGCAGAGUCAGACACAUGUAGGUAAGGGAAGUCGGCAAACUCGAUCCGUAACUUCGGGAAAAGGAUUGGCUCUGAGGGCCGAGCUGGGCCGGGCCUUGCCUGCAAAGCAGUACCUAUAGUGACCGGAGUUUCAGGAGUGCGAGGGGCUCUAGUAGCUGCUUGCGCGUGUGUGCGCGUUCGCGUGUGCGCGCGUGUGGGCACGAACGAGUCCACCGCUCCGCUCCAACCACGAACGGCUGUGACGGCAAGGGCUCUGGGCGGGAGCGAUCAAACCGUUGGCCUCCAGCUCGUCUGGCUGGCGGCGGUGCUCCGUCUGACCCAUACGGCUCCAGCGGCUAGCGGCUAACUCAGAACUGUCAUGGACCAAGGGAAUCUGACUGUCUAAUUAAAAAAAAGCGUCGUGACGGCCCCUGUUGGGUGUUGACGCGACGUGAUUUC